rnacentral:lncRNA from 1 species
UUAUAUGCAAGAGAACCAGGCUUGGUUAUUGAUGACUAUCUUGUUAGUGCUAUGCAUUUGAUUAAGGUCAGUAAUCAGACCAAGGGUCUUAUGUGGACCUAUUCUCCAGUCACAGUAGGGUUUCCAACUGAAGGAAGAUAUGCUAUGGCUAAGCCAUUUUCGAUUUGGAAACAAUGAAUUGGAUUAUGGGGAUGAAAUACGUGUUUCGGUGGAGAUGCAUGAUUUUCGGAUAAAGGAGUUCGGAAUCCAGCUUGUGUACGAGCGGGAAAGGUCUCCUUCUAGCCAGAAUAAUGUUGUUGCUGGAGAUGGGUCAAUGUCAACAUCAGAGUACCAAAUGUGGACAGGAAAAUACUUUCUCAGUAAUCAUAGGCACCGUACUCAUCAGGCUCAAUUCCGAAAGAGACAGGAGAAUCCAGCUCAUAUUGAAUUUUCAUUUGGGCCAGAGCGUCUAGGUCAUAAAUUAUUCAAGGCUCAAGGACCAUUGGAAAUAAUUGGGAGAGGAUGUUCAGCAGAUUCCCCAUCUGCUUCUCGUAACCUGUUUUGGGGAAAUAAAUGUUUUAGCUACAAUGUUAACUGAAGCAAUAACUGUAAGCGGACUGUAACAGUUGAGAAAUAUUCAAGUACCUAAAAGAGCAGGCAGCUAUAUCAGAAUAAUUAUGCUGGACUUAAGUUGGAUAACUUCUCAUCUGUUAUGGCCUUGGUCCUUUUAUGGCGGUAUAUUGGUGCACAAACUCCCUUUUUCUAUAUUUUCAGAAAGUCUGCAAAACUUAAAUCCUAUAGUUCUUUUUCUGCCUUUUUCUAAUAUUUUUUCUGCCAUUUUCUACUAUAGUACUACCCCUUCAGACAAUAAUCCUAGUGGCCAAAAUUAUAUCCUAACUUUAAAUCCCAAUUAAGGUGAUAUUUUUUUAUGUUUAUGCUCACUAGAAACCUGAUUGAUCUACAAUGAACCAACAACCCCCGUAGUGCCUAUGGUAUGUGUGGUGGUCUAGAUCACUCAUUUGAGCAAUACGUACAUGCGAACCAAAAAGCUAUUUAACUUUAAAAAGGGGAAAUUUAGCAUGCCCCCGAACUUUUAAAAUGUUGGUAGCAGCUCAGGUUUGAGUCCCAGCAAAGGCAUGCUUUCUUAAUUUUUGCACGACUUACAGCUGGUGCGAGGAACCUUCGCGCGUUAACUAUGUGCCAGUCUGGGUCCAUUUAGUGCGCGUUAACUUGGGGACGACCUAACGAGGGACCUGAGAUAGUCAACAACCCUUACCGAGUACCAGAAAAUGUGAAUUAUGUAAGUCGUAAGUAUUUGUGUAAACUUUUCUUAUUUUACAACGUAAAUCCAUUCAUAUUAGCAACCUUUUCUUAUUCUUUUAUGUCUUCAGAUUUGAAAGCGCGCGGUCAACAAAUUAUUGAAAACGUGUAUAUGACAAUAAUUUCGUAAGGAUUGCAAAAGCAACCAGAUUUGAAAAACUAAAAAUUAACUUUUAUUUUCUUAUAUUAUUCUCUCCGAUAACAUAUAUAUACAUCACAACCUUGAGGUGCAAGGAAUAUUAAAUGAAGAGUCUGUCCUUAAGCUAGGAAGGAAUCCCUUUAAACUAGGAAACCAAAUUAUAUUCUAUAGAAAACUGGAUUUUAAUCUCUAAAUAAGAUGAAAUUUAGAAAAAUGUCUUAUACAAGAUUAAAAAUUGAUUUUAGUCCCUAGACUCUAUUUAAUGCCAACAUAUGUAUUCAAUAUUUUUUUAUUUAUUUAUAAUCUUAUGAAUUUAAAUUUUAUGAAAAUAUUAUAAAUUUUAAUUCUCAUUAUGGUAGGCAUCUUAUAUAAGAAAAUAUUUUCGUAGAGAUUUUUCGGUACACUAAUGUUUUUGCAUAUUUUCUUAUCUGCCAUUAAUUCAUAACAAUAUAUUUAGGUACGAACAUUUCAAUACAAUGGAUUAGUAUAAUAUGUUUAGGUACGGACAUUUCGGUACACUAGUUUAGUAUAAUAUAUUUAGGUACCGACAUUUCGGUACACUAGUUUAGUAUCAUAUAGUUAGGUACGGAAUUUUGGUACACUUAUGUUUUUACAUAUUUUCUUAUCUGUCACUAAUUCACUAUAAUAUAUUUAGGUACGAGCAUUUCGGUACACUAAUUUAGUAAAAUAUAUUAUGAUCCGGACAUUUAGGUACACUAAUUAGAGAAAGUUAAAUAAAAUUGUAUAAUAAUAAAUUUAAAUUUAAUGUAAUAACAUUAAAUAAGUUAUCUAUUAAAUAUAAAAACAAAAAUAUAAUAUGAAUUUGAAUUAAGUACACAUUAAGGGUCUAAAAUUAAUAAUCAAUCUAACACCAAGUUUUUAUUAAAUUUUAAUCUUCUUGAAGGAUUAAAAUUCAAAAACCCCCAUAUUCUAAUACAAAUUGAUUUAUGACUCACACGUCAACACUCCCCCUCAAGUUGGUGCGUAGAUAUCUUCUAGACCCAACUUGUCAAGUGAGUCACCAAAUCUGCUAGCAGAGACUGCAUGUGUUAAGAUAUCCGCCAAUUGUUCCUCUGUCUUCAUGUAUGGAAUAUUGAUCAGCUUCACAUCUAGCUUUUCUUUGAUGAAAUGUCUGUCUACCUUAACAUGCUUGGUUCUAUCAUGUUGCAUAGGAUUGUUCGCUAUUUCCCUUGCUGCUUGAUUAUCACAAUACAACAUCAUAGACCCUUCCGGCUUAAUCCCUAUCCCAGUGAGAAGGAUGCGCAACCAUAGAAGCUCACAAAUUUCGUGAGCCAUUCCUCUGUACGCGGCCUCCACUGAAGAUCUCGCCACCACAUUUUGCUUUUUACUUCUCCAAGUCACAAGAUUUCCAGCUACGAACGUGAAAUAACCUGAUGUAGACCGCCGGUCAGUGAUAUUGCCUGCCCAAUCUGCAUAAGUGUAUCCUUUCACCUCCAUGUGGCCAUGUUUUUUAUACAUCAGUCCUUUCCCUGGAGCUCCCUUUAAGUAACUUAAGAUUCGCAUUACUGCUGCCAUGUGAUCUUCACUCGGAGCAUGCAUGAACUGACUGACUACGCUCACUGCAUAAGCAAUAUCUAGCCAAGUAAGAGAUAGAUAAAUUAAUCUUCCCACUAACCUUUGAUACAUCUCCUUAUUAGUCGGAAUUUGAUCCUGAUAUAUUGCUAGGUUAUGAUUUUGCACAAUCGGAGUAUCUCCCGAUUUACAAGCCAACAUCCAUGUCUCUGAUAAUAGAUCUAAUAUGUACUUGCAUUGUGACAAGUAAAUCCCUAGACCAGACCAGGCCACUUUAAUUCUAAGGAAAUACUUGAGUCCUCCUAAGUCAUUCAUCUCAAAUUCAGUAGACAAGUACCUUUGUAGUCUUUUAGUCUCCCUUGUAUCAUUACCUGUGACAAUCAUAUCAUCCACAUAUAUGAUGAGCAAGGUCACUUUACCAUCCUUACGAUUGAUGAAUAAAGUGUGAUCAGAAUUUCCCUGUCGAUACCCAUACUUUUUCAUUUCCUGAGUGAAUCUGCCAAACCACGCUUUAGGUGAUUGCUUCAGACCGUAUAGCGCCUUCCGAAGUCUGCACACCUUCCCACUAGAGUUUGCAGUGCCAUACCCUAACGAAAGGUCCAUGUAAACUUCCUCAUCUAAAUCUCCAUGUAAGAAAGCAUUUUUUACAUCAAACUGUCUUAGAGGCCAAUCAAAGUUUGUAGCCAAAGAUAACAGAACUCUAAUGGUAUUCAUCUUUGCGACUUGAGCAAAAGUUUCCUGAUAAUCAACACCAAAAGCUUGCGUGUAAUCCUUUGCCACCAAUCUUACCUUGUAUCUAUCUAUAGUUCCAUCUGCCUUGUGUUUAAUGGUGAACAUCCACUUACACCCUACUGGUUUUUUUCCUUUAGGGAGCGGCACCAAUGUUCAUGUAUUAUUUUUCUGUAAAGCCUCCAUUUCCACCUGCAUUGCCUCUGUCCAUUUCCGAUCCUUCAAGGUGUCUUCAACUCUUGUGGGUAUUUUUAUGUCUUCCAUUUGUUGGACAAAUGCGCAGUAACUUGGCGAGAGCCCAUGAGUAGAAACAUAGUGUGCAAUUGAAUAUCACACUUUACCUUCCGGAGAGUACAUGUCAUGAGGCUUUCUCGAUUUUCUCUAGAAGGCAACACAUAAAUAGGUUUAAUGUUUUCUGAGUUAGUACUUACCUCAGGAAUAUUCGGUUGAUCUUGGACAGGUACUUGAGAAACAAGAUAAUAAGGGUUGCAACAAAUUGUAUAAAUAGCUGGCCCACGCCUAUUUGGGUUAUUCAGGGAUGCUGUGGUGACUAGCCCACUUGGGUGUUCUUCAGUGGAUGCCGUAAUGGCUGGCCCACUUGGGUAGUCUUCAGUGGAACCAUCAAUAGGCCCAUUAACAAUCCCAACUGGGCUCUCGGCUAUGACUCUGUUUUCUUUCUUUUGCCUAUCGGCCAAUGGGUAUUCUUGGCCCACUUGUUCAUCAAUCAGCCUAAUUGUGUGUUCUUCAUGUGGUGCCAUGGCCGGCACAUCAAACAAACCAUCGUCCUCAUUAGUCGUUAUCUCCUCCUGAGGAGUAUGGCGGGGAGGAAAAAACAAUUCAUCCUUAGAGAAAGUGACGUCCAUUAUGACGUACAUAUGCCAAGUAGACGGAUGAUAACACCAGUAGCCUUUUUGUUGUGGAUUAAAGCCAAAAAAUGCACACCGAACUGCACAGGGAUCAAGUUUGCUUCGUUGGUUCUUGUGGAGAUGGACAUAAGCGACACACCCAAAAAUUCGUGGUUCCAAUGAAGAGUAGAGGGAAGCGUAACAUGGUCUGCAAGCACUGCCAAAUGAGUUUAAAAGGAGAGAACUCGAGAUGGCAUGCGAUUCAUAAGAUAAACGACAUAAGUUACGGCAUUCGUCUAAUAGGUCUUGGGUACACACCCACCGAUUAAGAGUGCUCUGGUGGUCUCAAUGAUAUGACAAUUCUUUCUUUCUGCAACUCCAUUUUGUUGUGGGGUCUGAGAACAAGUAGUUUCAUGGAGAAUACCAUGUUCUUUGAAAAAUUGAGAAAGAUCCUGAUUAACAUAUUCACAGCCAUUGUUGGAUCGCACAACCUUUACAGGAAGUGAAUAUUGGUUGCGAACCAUGGAAUGAAACGUCUUGAAGGUUUCACUCACAUCACUUUUGUUUUUCAUAAGAUACAACCAUGUCAUCUGGGUACAAUCAUCAACAAAUGUCACAAACCAGCGUAUACCAUGCUGAGUAGUAAUCGGAGAUGGUCCCCACACAUCAGAAUGAAUCAACUCAAAAGAUAUUAUGCUUUUAUUAAAACUUGGCGAAAAAGAAGCAUGAUGGCUUUUGGCUAAGGUGCAAGUAUUACACUUUAAGGAAGUGUCUGAAAUAUUAUUAAAUAAUGAUGGAAGUAAUUUUCUUAAAUAUCCAAAUAAAGCAUGACCUAGUCAACGAUGCCACAGUUAAACAGUUUUCAUCUGUCCACUGCUAUAACUUUGAACCUGAUGAACAUGUCUUGACACAACAUCAUCCACAUAGUACAACCCCUUUCUCUUAGUACCACGCCCAAUGAUCGCCCGAGUCCGAAUAUCUUGAAGUAGACAGAAAGUGGGAAACAUUAGCAAACAAUUUUGUCUACUUCAGGAUAUUCGGACUCGAGCCAAAAGUCACUGACCUAGUCAACGAUGCCACAACUGAACAAAAUUGUUUGCUUGUACCCUCACUCUCCAGUAAUUUAUUAUCUGUGGGCCAAGUCACUGAGCAAUUAAAUUGUUUCCUAUUUUUUGCCCACAUAUAAUAAAUUACUGGAGAGUGAGGGUACAAGCAAACAAUUUUGUAAAGAAAGAUUAGAGGUGAUUGCAAUAGAACCCGCCCCUAUAACUGGGGCAAUACCCCAUUUUCCGUGAUAAUGCUAUUAUUUGGUGGUGGUACCAUCGAGUUAAAGAGGGUUCGAUCAUAAGUCAUAUGAUCGAUGGCUCCUGAAUCAAUGAUCUAACCUGUAUCGUGAACAACAGAAGCAAUUAAAGCAGUGCUCAUAUUACUUGGGUCAUCAGAUUCAUUCGAGGAGAUCAUAUUUAAGAGGGACAAGUGCUGCCCAAUUUCAUCAUGAUCCACAACAUGCACCACUGGUUCCUUGGGCUGGUUUUGGGCCACAGUAGUGUGACCCAUAACUGUUUCUCGAAUGUCAUGCCCAUAAUGUGCUGCUGUCAUGGCAGAUUGAACUGCAGUCUCGUCAGGCCCAUCAUAACGAGCUGCCAUUGCAGCUAGGCCAGGAUUAGGAUCGACCUUCCUUGUUUGGUUGGGACGUUUUCCUAACUUCCCCUUGAUUUGUUUUCUUCGUUCUAUGAACCAUUCAGGGUAUCCAUAAAUUUUGAAACAAGUAUCUUUUGUAUAACGAGUGCCAUUGCAAUAAGUGUAUCGGAGCUUGUCUUUUUCAGCACUUUCCAAAUCCCGUAGUGAGCAUGAUAGACUUGGGAAUGGUUUACUAACCAUGGCCACGGAUGGACCAUUGUCAGUAUCCUUAUCGCUUAGCAUAGUGGUUUUUCAUUAUGAUUCUCACCGAAUGGUGUUGAAGCAUUCUUCUAUUCCAGGGACAUGUUUAAUCAAAGAAGCAUGCUUCGUACCACAUCCAAUGAGUCAUUGAGUCCUGCAAGAAAGUCGUACACCCUGUCUUUUUGAAGCUUUUCAUUCCUGCUUUUCAAGUCGGCUGCACACACCAUCUUAUUGGGACGUCGUUUGUCCAUCUCUUACCAUACAUUUUUUAGUUCCACAAAAUCGAUGUUCACUGGUCGUCCAUUCUGCUUUGUUCUUGUUGCCUUGCAUCGUAGUUCAUAAUAUUGGGACUCGUCUGCCCCGUCAUAGAACAUCUGACUGACGUUUUCCCAAAUAUCAUGUGUCGUUGGUAACUCAAUGAAUAGUCCUAACAGAUGUUUUUCCAUAGUUUUUAGCAGCCAUCCUCGGACAAUUGCAUCUUCAGGUGCUAGGUUUUGUUUCAUCCACUGUUAGAGUCUUCUCAUUGAGAUAACCCAUCUUAUUUAAUCCCUCUGCGUGAACUUCCAUCAUCUUCGACCAAAUUUUAUAGUUCAAAUCAUAAGUUUGAAUCCGAACGGUACGGCACUCAGAUUUGGAGAUUCGUUUGUACUAGGAGCUAAAGCCCCCACGAGAAUAAUUGCUCCUUCUGCAGCCAUCACAGUAGCGGAGUGUCUUGUUUUGUGUUUCUGAUUUGGGGUAUUCUGAAAGUGAGUCCCUUGUCUCGGGACACCACAUCACACACAGAUAGGAUAAUAGGUUUAGAAUUGGAGAAAGAUACCAAACCAAAAACUCUCGACUCUGAUGCCAAAUUAACUUUUAUUUUCUUAUAUUAUUCUCUCCAAUACGGAGGCAACAUAUAUAUACAUCACAACCUUGCGGUGCAAGGAAUAUUAAAUGAAGAGUCUGUCCUAAGCUAGGAAUGAAUCCCUUUAAACUAGCACGAUGACUUUUGGCCAAAAUGCAAAUUUCACAACGAAAAUCGGAUUCUUUGAAUUGGGAAAAAAAGUUUAGGAAAUAUAAGUUUAAGAUAACCAAAUGAAGGAUGUCCUAAUUGUCUAUGCCAUAACCAAAUCUUCUUCAUUUAGGUUGAUUUGUCUUUGCUUACAUGAUGCACUUGACUCAAUCUAUAGCUGCAUUCUUCCGUUAAGUCCAAAUAAUAUAGUUUGCCCCUUCUAGUACCAUAACCAAUCACGACCCUGGUGAGCAGAUCCUGGAAAAGACAACAUAGUGCCAAAAAGAAAUAGAGCAAUUAAGGGAGUCAAUAAUUUGAGAAACAGAUAAAAGAUUGUAAUCUAGGGAUGACAUAACUAAGACAAGAUCAAGAUUGAGUGAGGAAGUUAGUGAAAGAGAGCCUUCUCUGGUAACCGAAGAGAUUGAACCAUUGGCAUUGGUAAUAAACGUCUGGUUGGCUGUUUUUAGUGGGUGAAGAAUGUUAGCAUCAGAUGUGAUGUGAUAUGUGACACUUGUAUCAAUAAUCCACGAUCUAUUACAAGUAUUAGCGGAUGUAGAAUUAGAUAUACCUAAGGUGUUCAAGGCUUUUGGGACAUGGUCAAAUGAGCUAACAUCUUGAGAAGACUGAGAGGUGGUGAAUGAUGCUCUGCUGGAUUCCUUUUUUCGUCCUUUGUGAACCCAUCCUUCUGGAUAGCCAAUAAUCUCAUAAUAGCCUUGAAUAGUAUGAUUUUUCAAUCCGCAUUUAGUGCAUUGCAUAGAUGGUCGAUUACGAAUCGAUUAGCUGUUGAAGAGUUUAUGUUUUGAAGUCGAGGUCCUUGUGGAGAUCGAGAAUUUGUGUAAAGAGCACAAUAGCUUCAAGCAUGGUGGCACUUUCUGACAUGGUUCCUUGUCGGUUGCUAUCACGUUUGACAUGAGAGUAGGCUCCUUCAAGACCAAGUUUGGGCUCAAUCCUCAAAAUCUCACCAUGAAUUUGAUCCAACUUGCUGUCUAAUCCUGCAAGAAAAAUAUAGACUCGAAGUCGCCUUGAUGAGAUAUCAUCUGGGUCCUUCAUGUUAGUAGGACUAAGUUGAACAGGUUCUUGAAAAAUCUCGAUGAGAUUGUUGUAAAAGUUAGCAAUAUAGCUCCAUUUUGCUUCAUGGUGAAUGACCUUUUAUAAAGAUCAUAAAUUUUAGCUUCAUCAGAGCCAUUUGAGUAAGUCUUUUUUUUGGCAUCCCAUAUCUGCAUGGCGAUGUCGUAACGGAUGAACCACUUCAUAUGAUUGGGCGUCAUAGCAUCAAAUAACCAACUUUUGACUUGGCAAUUUUCAGCUUGCCACUUGUUAUACAGUGGGUAUGUAACUACAGGCUUCUUGGUAUCACCGGAAAGAUGCCCAUGUUUUUCUCGACCAACAAUUUUCAUCUCUAUGACUUGAUGCUACAAAGAAUAGUUGUUCUCAUCAAGUUUAAUUCCUACAGAGAAAUUGGAAUUAUCACCUUGAAUGGUGACCACUUGUGUGGUGGAGUUUGAUUUACUUGGUGUGAAAGACUAAUUUGGUGGGUCUGAUAUACUUCAUCACUAGCCAUUGUAUAGGCUUAAGAUCAGUGAAGAAAUAAAAGAUAAAAUUGAUAUGGGAAAAAAUGAAGAAUAACUUGCUUAUGAUUGUGAUCGAGAUAUGACUAUGGUAGAAGCAUUUAUUGGUUUUGAGGUUCAAGAGUCAGUUAUGAUCGACUGCUCUGAUACCAUCUCAGAAAUAAUGGGUUUGUGGGUCAAUUUUCUGUUUCAUUGUAUUACAUUGGCUCCGUAAGGAGCUCUUCAUAUUACAAACUAUACAAUUAAUAUCUAAUAUCAUUAACUACAUGUUCCUAACUCACUUGACAACAUUUAUUGUGAGGAGUAAUUAACAUUGACAAUUGCCAUGUCCAUGUUGACAGACAGCAACUUCUUUUGUUGACAAUAGCAGCUCUUGUUGACAAGAUCAUCCUGUAAUUUCUAGUGAAACGAAUCAAGGGCAAACAAUUUUAGGCUGCCCUUACCUAAUUUACAUGUGUUGCUGUAAAUUCCUACUUCUAAUGUUGGGACGAUGAAAAUAAAGUGCAGCAUGAAGAAAUAUCUAUUCCAGCAAUCUACAUGACAUCACAGACCCACCCAGGCGCAUCACCUUUUUGAAUAUACAAGACAAUAAGAUGUGAAACAUCUCAAAGCUAUGUGGUAGGUAUUGCACAGAGGGGAAACUAAAGCACAAGGCCCUCUAAGCAAACAAUAACAUAUAAGAAAUGAGGAGAAUCGUUAUAUACACAAUUGUUUUAAUUUUUGAAAUUUGCGUAUUUCCACAGUGAAACAUCGAGUACACAUAACAACUAGACGAACAAAUGGAUUACAAACUAUGAAUCUUAUUUGAUUAACGGAAAGAAAAAAAAAACAGGAUUUUCGAGACGACUACACUUAACUACAUAUCGACCUAUUAUCCGUACUAAACAAACUAUAUUUGUAUGCAGCAAAACCUAAGAAAUCCUAAUUUGAAUGGGGUAGGCCUAAAUCAUAAACUAACAAGCAAACCCAAAUAAUGAAAUAACUAAUUUUUCAACAUCCGUCAAACUCAUGACGGUACAUGACAUGAGUUUGCCAACAACCAGAUUCUAAUUUAGACAUAUUGAUGUUAAGAGUAUGAAAAGAAAGCAUAUGAUUGCUUCCCCUCACUAAACAAAUGAGAUUUCCAUAUCCCAAUUACAACAAUGAACGAAAAAAUCAACAUUAUCACUCAAAUAAUCACAAAUCCAAAUACUCAAGUAAAGGUAAAAAAAAUUCCCAAACAAGCCAACAACUCGCGUCGGCCUCAAAGACAUUAAAAAAAAAAGAAAAAGCCCAUGUCUUUUCCCCCUUUGCCUGUGUGGCCCAAAAUCUUGGAAUUGGAUCUGCUCCGGAACUUAGUGUCUGAAGUCUCCGAUUCAAGAAUCUAGGCCACACAAAUUUAGUCCAACGAUCUCCAUUAAUUUAUUUUUCUGGCCCACCACACACAACCAACAUCCCUGAUUUGACUUACACAUCAAUCAGUGCCCUAGAUUCCUUAAUUUGGAGAUUACGAACACUAAAAUCUGGAGCAUAUCCAAUUCUCAAAAUCUCAACCAAUUUCCAAUUUUUUCUUUUUUGUGUGGAUCUCAAACAUACCACCACUUUUUCAUCUUUUUCUUUUUCUCUCUUUUUCCUUUUUGUUUUAGGCAUAUCUUUUUCUUUCCGUGUGGACCUCAUCGAAAUCAAACAAAAAAAAAAGAAAAAUUAAACUCAUCAUUAACUUCCACAUGAAACUUUUUGAACCAAGUUGUGUGAGAUUUGUCCAUGAUUCGGGUGGGGGUAGGUGGGCUGGGGUCAGUUCUCAUUAUUUACUCACCCUUACGCAUCCGUGCAUCCACCCCAAUUUCGAUGUUUUGGGACCUUGGACUAGCAAUAAUUUUUCAAAUAACAGAGUGGAGAUUGGAGAGAGAUAGGAGGAGGGAGGAAGAGCGAGAGAGAAUAGUAUGGUUACAUUUUAGAAUUUUUAUGACAUAGAAUAUUAAUAAUGAUAAAAGUUAACUAGAGUUAUAUGAGAAGAUAUAUAUCAAGUUAAAAGUGUAUGAAUAGCAUACAUGGGUAAGUUCGAAGCAUUUUUACUCAUUGCUUUCAAGUGAUGGUGAUGCUCACAAUAUUUUUAUUACUGUUUGAUAAGUUUAAUUUUUGAAAUUUAUGUCUAUCCACAGUAGAAACGUAUUACAAAUAACAAACAUACGAACAUAUGAACAAACAAAUUACAAAUUACCGAAUAUAUUUGACUAACGAAACAACAAAGAAACAUGAUUGUCGAGACGACUACACUCAACUACAUACCAACUUAUUAUCCAUGCUAAACAAACUACAUUUGUGGGGAGCAAAAUCUAAGGAACCCUAAUUCAAAUGGGAUAGGCCUAAAUCAUAAACUAACACUAAUUUUUCAACACCAGUCAAAUUCAAGACGAUACAUAACAUGAGUUUGCCAACAAACAAAUUUUAAUUCAGACAUAAUGAUGUUGAGAGUAUAAAAAGAAAGCAAAUGAACGCUCCCCAACACUAAACAAAUGAGAUUUUCAUAUUUCAAUUACAACGAUGAACAAACAAAAACGACACUAUCACUCGAAUAUUCACAACUCCCGUACAAGCCAAUAACUCGCGUCAAUCAAUUUCCAAUUUUUUCUUUUCCGUGUGGACCUCAAACAUACCACCACUUUUUCUUCAUUUUCUUUUUCCAUCUUUUUUCCUUUUUUCUUUAUCCCUAUCUUUUCCUCACCCUCGUUUACCAAAAAGAAAAAGAAAAGAGAAAACAAAAGACUCGUCCUUCUUCUUGAGCUGCUGCUUUGGUAGCAUCUCCCACCUCUUCUUCUUCAUCAACUCUCAAGACCGACGCCCAUUCAGAUCCUUGGAAAUUUGAGCAUGGUGGAGAGGAACUAUAAUUAUCAACUUGAGGUUUUAAGUGAGCAAAAUUCGAUUUGUGAAAUGGUCCAUUUCACAGUGUCGUUUUGAAGAAACUAGUUGGGACUUUCAUCCAACAGCUUGCCGGAAGAAAGAAAACUCACAGCUCUGGUGUGUGCGAGGUACCUCCAAGCUCCCCUCUUGUGAAAACAUAAAUCUGCUUUAGCUUUCAAUUGAAAUCUUCGUGGCCGAUGAGUCAAAUGCAUUGACUAUGGAUCCUCUUGUUUUCUUAUCUUUAUUUUUCUUUUUAAUAUUUUCCUAUUAAAACUAAGAUCUAAAGUCUUUAAAUUCAUGGAAAUUAUUUUGUAAGACUUCAAUUUUUGUUUUUCAGAAACAUGAACUAAAUCCAUUUCAUGAAAAAGGAUCUAGUCCUUUUCGUUUUUUUCUUCUUAAAAUAAAUAUGAGUCAUUAUAUUAAUAAUUAAUUUAUUAAAAAUUGAUAGAAUAUAUUUUUGUAUAAAGUUUUAAUAUGAAUUUCUUUUAAGAUUACACAUAAUGUGUCGUUAGCUUUACCAAAUUUAUGAUAAUAUAAAUGUACCGAUAGUUUUUUAAAUAAAAUUUACAUAACAUACCAAAACUAAUUUGUACACAAAUUUAAAUUACAUAUCAUGCCAAUAACGUACCAAAUUAUUGACACGUUACAUUUAGUAAAUAAAAACAUUGAUAUAUAUAUAGAGAGAGAGAGAGGCCCUUUAAGGAAACAGAUCACAUUUAAAAAAAAAAUAGGGCACCCUCUUGAUCAUUAAAUUUGAUUUUAAUGAAAUUCUGUAAUUGAGAUUAAAUCACAGACCACAUAAUCUUAAUUACAGAAUUUCAUUAAAGCCAAAUCUAACGGUUAAGAAGGUGUUCUUAUUUUUUUUUUUAGGAAAAUAGGGAUCCAUCCCCUCUAUUUAUAUAUAUAUAUAUAUAUAUAUAUAUAUGUAAUAUCGUUUAGAAUUUUAAAGUACCAAGAAUUUUAAAGUACGUUGGUACUUUUAAAAUAGCACGUUUGAUUUUUUUUGUUUUUUGCACUCACAGUUUAACUUUAUUUUUUGAUAAAUAAUUCAACUUUUUUUUAUUUUUAUAGAACUUUUAUUGUUUUUUAUUCUUUUGAAAUAUAUUGAAAUAAAAAGAUAUAAAUUAACAAUAUAUUGAAAAAAACCUUUGAUAUUUGGUCUAAGAAAUUAGAAAACAGAGCAUCUAGAUCAAAAUGCCCCCUAAAUUAUUUGGUGGUUAAGAGCCCUAAAUGAGCUCCUCACUAAAACUUAGAGAGGGUUUGAAAAAUUCCAUCUCGAAUCAGAGCCAAGUUACAUGUACAUGUCUAACAAAAGUUUAGUCCAUUUUUACCACACAAAAAAAGGAAAUAAAAUAACCAAUAAUAUUCUUGCAUGACGAUAUGACGAAUUUAUUCUUACUAGACACCAAUUAGUCUUCUUUUUUUUUUUUUUUUCCUCCUGAGUGCUACUCGAGACUCCAACUUAUUAGUUUUUGCAUCAAUUUUUUAGAUCCCAAAUGGCAUGCCAAUGUUCCAACUUAUUAUGUUGAUCAUAUCCUACAUAUUUCCAAAAUUAGACCUGUAAUAUGAUUUGCAUAUCAGUGGUAAAUCAGAUGUGUUUGGUAGCUGGAGAAUAUAUUCUCAAUUUGCAUUCCAAUUUGUAUAUAAUAACUCUUCUUCAUGCAUUCACUGCUACAGAUAGACUCUAUUCAAUAGCUGCUAUGAGCACCGAGCAGCAGAAGAAUGCUUCUUCAUCCUCUUACCGGUGCACAUAUGAUGCCUUCUUGAGUUUCAGAGGCACAGAUACACGCAAGGGCUUUACAGAUCACCUCUACAGUGCUUUGGAGUCGGCAGGAAUCCACACUUUUAGAGAUGAUGAUGAAAUUGAGAGAGGAGCAAACAUUGAACAGGAGCUACAGACAGCAAUACAAGAGUCACGAGUAUCAGUCAUUGUUUUCUCCAAGGACUACGCCUCUUCCAGGUGGUGCCUGAAUGAACUUGCUGUCAUCAUGGAACGUAAAAGAACAGAUGGACACAUGGUUAUCCCAGUUUUCUAUGAUGUGGAACCAUCAGAUGUCAGGAAGCAGACGGGCAGUUUUGCAGAAUCAUUUACUAGACAUGAAGAGCGCUUCAAGGACGAGAUAGACAAGGUGGAGGAGUGGAGGCGAGCUCUUAGAGAUGUUGCAGACUUGGGAGGGAUGGUUUUAAGAGAACGGUGAUUUUUCAUUCCCUCCUAUAUUCAGUCAAGUAGAUCAGAUGCUAGUCUCAAGCUUGUGAAAGUUUUAGCUUUUUUUUUUUUUUUUUUUUCUGAAAAAAUAAAAACAAAAAAUAAAAAACUUGCUCGUGUUUUUUCUUUUGGCCUGAAAAGAAAGAACUUAUUGUCCCUUGUGUAUUUUGAUACCAAUAACAUAUAGGUACGAGUCGCAGUUUAUCCAAGAUAUUGUUGAAGCGAUUGGAAAUAAACUAGACUACAUGACGAAUAGGAGAUUAAGAGUUGAGCCCUAUGUGAUUGGAAGAGAUUAUCAUGUGAAAAGACUAAACAUGUGGCUGGAAGAUGGAUCAAAUGAUGUUGGAGUAGCUGUCAUCCAUGGAAUGGGUGGAAUAGGCAAGACCACCAUUGCAAAAAUUGCUUAUAACCAGAACUUGUAUAAAUUUCAAGCUAGCAGCUUUCUUUCAGAUAUUAGGGAAACUUCCAAACAAGCCAAUGGUUUUGUUCACUUGCAAAGGAACCUUCUUUCAGAUAUCCAAAAGAGGAAAUUGAACAAAAUAUACAGCAUUGAUGAAGGAAUAGUCAAGAUCGAACGGGCUGUACGUUGCAAAAGAGUUCUUAUUGUUCUUGAUGAUGUGGAGAACUCGGAACAGUUCAGUGCAAUAAUUGGAAUGCGAGACUGGUUCCAUCCUGGAUGUAAAAUUAUAAUAACAACUAGGCAUGAACAUUUGUUAAAGGCUCAUGAAGUUGUAAGGUUUAAGGUUGAAGGAUUGCAUGAGGAUGAAUCACUUGAGCUUUUCAGUUGGCAUGCCUUUCGACAACCCCAUCCUCAAGAAGGUUAUAUGGAGCUUUCAAGACCCGUGGUUGAACAUUGUGGAGGGGUUCCAUUAGCUCUUCAAGUUCUGGGAUCUUCUCUAUAUGGAAAAACAAUUGAUGUAUGGAAAAAUGCACUACACAACUUAGACGUGAUUUCUGAGGGGAAAAUUCAAAAGAUUCUUGCCAUAAGCUUUGAUUCUUUACAAGAUCAUGAUAAACGUUUAUUCCUGCAUAUAGCCUGUUUCUUCGUGGGAAAGGACAAGGAUUUUACAACUACAAUCCUUGACGAAUGUGAUUUUUCUACAGAGGUUGGACUUCAACAUCUGGUUGAUAGAUGUCUUGUGGAAAUUAAUGUCCACAACAAGUUAACCAUGCAUCAAUUACUUCAAGACAUGGGAAGGGCAAUAAUUCGUGAAGAAUCACCUGAGGACCCUGGAAGACGCACUAGACUGUGGCAUAAAGAUGCAUUUAACGUUUUGAGAAAAUUAGCGGUAAGAAACAUGAUCUUUAUCUGUAUAUAUUUGCAAUGGUAUUCUGCAUGUGACUAGUAACUUAUCCAAUGCUCUUAUUUGUUAGCAGGGUACGAGAACUAUCAAGGGCCUCGUGCUUAACUUUCCCUCAACAGAGUCAUCUCCAGUAUUAAAUGAGGUAGGUUUCGAAACAAAGGCAUUUACAGAGAUGCUCAAUCUUGAACUACUUCUGCUUGAUAAUGUAAAGUUGAGUGGAAGCUAUGAAGAUUUUCCAAAAAAUUUAAUAUGGCUAUCUUGGCGAGGAUUCUCUUUAAAAUCAAUACCAGCCAAUUUUUGUUUGGAAAAUCUAGUUGUUCUUGACUUACGGAAGAGCAGUCUGCAACAUGUUUGGAAAGGAACCAGGGUAUGUUCUAAUCUCUCUCUCUCUCUCUCUCAAAAUACACACAAUCAAAAAUAAUUUUCAGUGAAAUUUAACUGUGUAUUCAUAGCAACUAAUGACUUCUCUUUGACACAGUUUCUUACAAGAUUGAAAAUUCUUAAUCUCAGUCAUUCGCAUGGCCUUAGGACAACAUCUGACUUGUCCGGACUCCCUAACCUUGAGAAACUAAUUCUUAAGGAUUGCAUUAAUUUGAUUGAUGUUGAUGAAUCCAUUGGAAACUUGGGGAAACUUAUUUUCUUGAAUCUAAAAGACUGCAAAAGUCUUAUGAAGCUUCCAAAAAGAAUGAACAUGUUGAGGUCUCUUGAGGAACUUAUUCUUACUGGUUGCCCAAAGCUUGUUCUUCAUGACAGUGCCACAGUUAUUCAUUUACACUCUACAUCUAGGGAUAUGAAUAAACUUAGACUGUUAUCAAUUAUAUCAUGGACACCAAUCAGGUAUUGGUGGAUGUGGGCAUGGCCGGGAAAGACUCUUCAAUCAAUGAGUUUCUCUCUGGCAAGUUUACCCCGUUUUUUGGGAAGCUUAAGUUUGUCUUACUGCAACAUGUCAGAGGUUCCCAACGAUCUGUGUACACUAUCUUCGUUGAAGCAUUUGAAUCUAAUUGGUAACCCAAUUUUGUGCUUACCACAAAAAAUGAAGAGUCUUAUUAUGCUCGAGACUCUUUUGUUAGAUAAUUGCACAAACCUCGAAAUUCUUCCAGAGCUCCCACCAAGGUUGAAGAGGUUAGAAGCAAAAUAUUGUACAUCAUUGAAAAGAUUAACAAAUUUACCAAACUUAUUCAGAUCAUUGCAAUCACUUUUUUGGGGUUGUGAGCAUUUAGUUGAAGUUGAAAGCUUGUUGAAUAAAAAACCGCUGAGAAGCGCUGACAUAGAAAUGACAAGAUAUAUGGACCUGUUCAAUUUGAAAUCCAUAUCAAGCACUGAUGUCGAAAUGAUCAACUACUUGACCGGUACAACCAGGAAGGCUCCUGUCCAGGUCUUUCUCUGUCUCCUCUCUCAUGUAUAGUUCUAAUUAUUAUAUCUAUGAACUAGUUGGGCCUAACUGUUUGAAUAGUUAAAUUUGAAUUGUAGAUUCUUGAUGAAACAGGUACUCUAUGAAUGUGGCAUAUAUAGCAUUUUCUUUCAUGGAAGCAAGAUUCCAGAUGGAUUUAGCUUCACAACAAGAUACAGAUCUGUGCUGUCAGUUAUUGCACCUUCACAUCCUAAUCCCAAAAUCCGAGGCUUGAAUUCAUGUGUUUUAUAUGCAAGAGAACCAGGCUUGGUUAUUGAUGACUAUCUUGUUAGUGCUAUGCAUUUGAUUAAGGUCAGUAAUCAGACCAAGGGUCUUAUGUGGACCUAUUCUCCAGUCACAGUAGGUUUUCCAACUGAGACGGAAGAUAUGCUAUGGCUAAGCCAUUUUCGAUUUGUAAACAAUGAAUUGGAGUAUGGGGACGAAAUACGUGUUUCGGUGGAGAUGCAUGAUUUUCGGAUAAAGGAG